rnacentral:rRNA from 1 species
GACGAACGCUGGCGGCGUGCCUAAUACAUGCAAGUCGAACGGUUCUUUCUUUUGGAAGCUUGCUUCCGAUCGAGAGAAUAGUGGCGAACGGGUGAGUAACACGUGGGUAACCUGCCCAUAAGAGGGGGAUAACAUCCGGAAACGGGUGCUAAUACCGCAUAGUUUUUUUGAUCGCAUGAUCGAGAAAGGAAAGACGGCCUUUGUGCUGUCGCUUAUGGAUGGACCCGCGGCGUAUUAGUUAGUUGGUGAGGUAAUGGCUCACCAAGACGAUGAUACGUAGCCGACCUGAGAGGGUGAUCGGCCACAUUGGGACUGAGACACGGCCCAAACUCCUACGGGAGGCAGCAGUAGGGAAUCUUCCGCAAUGGACGAAAGUCUGACGGAGCAACGCCGCGUGAGUGAAGAAGGUUUUCGGAUCGUAAAACUCUGUUGUCAGAGAAGAACAAGUCGGAGAGUAACUGCUCCGGCCUUGACGGUAUCUGACCAGAAAGCCACGGCUAACUACGUGCCAGCAGCCGCGGUAAUACGUAGGUGGCAAGCGUUGUCCGGAUUUAUUGGGCGUAAAGCGAGCGCAGGCGGUUCCUUAAGUCUGAUGUGAAAGCCCACGGCUCAACCGUGGAAGGUCAUUGGAAACUGGGGAACUUGAGUGCAGAAGAGGAGAGUGGAAUUCCAUGUGUAGCGGUGAAAUGCGUAGAUAUACGGAGGAACACCAGUGGCGAANGCGACUCUCUGGUCUGUAACUGACGCUGANGCUCGAAAGCGUGGGGGAGCAAACAGGAUUAGAUACCCUGGUAGUCCACGCUGUAANGCGAUGAGUGCUAAGUGUUGGAGGGUUUCC